GGGCAACUGCUGGAUCAUACUCGAGCUGGUGAGCACGUUGCCUUUGAUCCUAGGAAGCGCAAUCCUGCUGACUUUGCACUAUGGAAGGCUGCAAAACCCGAUGAACCAAGCUGGGAGAGCCCUUGGGGUCCAGGAAGACCUGGAUGGCACAUCGAGUGCAGCGCAAUGAGCGCCCUUUAUCUCUCUCCGAGGUUUGACAUCCAUGGCGGUGGCUCAGAUCUGAUAUUCCCGCACCAUGAAAACGAGAUCGCCCAGACCUGUGCUGCCUGUGAAGAUAGUGGCGUGACUUACUGGGUACGGCCAUGUCACUAACAACAAAGUGAAGAUGGGAAAGUCACUAAAAAACUUCGUUCCAAUUAGAGAAAUCACCGCCAAGUAUCAUCCACUGGCUCUGAGGCACUUCUUGAUGAGUGCACAGUACCGGUCUCCACUGAAAUAUUCGGUGUUGCAGCUUGAGACUUCGUCGGAUGCUUUAUACUACGUUUAUCAGGUAGGUUCAGUCCCCCCAAUUACAAUAUAUGUUCCGUUUCUUUCAGCAUCUCUCAAGUGUUAAAUGAUAUAGAGAUAAAACAACCAAAAUUACAAAGUCAAAUUAUAUC